UGGUGGGGUAAAAGCCUACCAAGGCCACGAUCAGUAGCCGACCUGAGAGGGUGAUCGGCCACAUUGGAACUGAGACACGGUCCAAACUCCUACGGGAGGCAGCAGUGGGGAAUAUUGCACAAUGGGCGAAAGCCUGAUGCAGCAACGCCGCGUGAACGAUGAAGGUCUUCGGAUCGUAAAGUUCUGUCGCAGGGGAAGAUAAUGACGGUACCCUGUGAGGAAGCACCGGCUAACUAC
rnacentral:rRNA from 1 species